UGCUUAGUGCCUCACUUUUUGCUGAGGUUGGCUUUGAACUCACAGUUAAAAGUGUGUGCCACCACACCCAGAUUUUUUUUCUUUUUUGAGAAAUCCUCAAAAUUCUCAUUUUAAGAAUGGUCUUGCUAAGUUUUGCAAAGUUGCUGAGGCUGACCUUGAACUUGGGAUCUUCCUGCCUCAGCUUCCCCAGUCUCUGGGAUUACAGAUGUGCACUGUGCUUGGAUAGGGAAUGUCAUUUUAAAUAUCUUGCCCACAGAAGUGCUCACUGAGAAGGUGGCAUUUAAAAGACCUUUUUAGGGCUGGGGUGUAGCUGCACGGUAGAGCUCUUGCCUAGAUGCAGGAGGCCCUGGCAGAAGGACAGUUCACAGCCUAUAUCCACCACCAGCAUUCAGCAAUUGGUCGUAUUUUGCCACAUCUGCUGCUUCUCACUUUUCUGUACUUGAUGAGCCAUUUAGAAUUCAUUUCAGACACCCACGGAGACUUCCCUUCGUGUCCUUUAGUGGCGAAGGCAUUCUUAUCAUUGUACCUCUCUACUACAUCCAAUUAACAAUAAUUCCGAAUAUCUCCCAGUUCUCUGUUGGAAGAGGCAUUUGACCAGCCAUGCGAAGCAGGUGAGAGGUGGGCCAUGUGAGUACCCGGCAGAAGAACAUGCCAGCAGAGGGGACAGCCACUGCAAAGGCCCUAGGCUGAGUUUUUAUCUCCCAGGAACUGAGAGGAGGACGAUGUGGCUGGACUGAAGUGAAUGAGCCAGGAGGACAGGUAAGAUAUGAGGGCAGAGAGGAAGGAUCCAGAUACCGCAGAGCCUUGUGGCCCUCGGCGAUCCCUUUGGCUUUUCUGCGUCAGCAGGUGCCCCUGGAAUUCGCGGGCCCAGGACGGACCUGACCUGCGGUAAGUGGGAACUGGCGCCCCCUCGCGGAGGUGCGGCGAAAGCCGGGAGCUUCGGGCGCAGAGGGUGAAGAGUCCAGGUGUGUUGCCCGUGCGCCGGCCCAGGUGGUGACCCGGGGACGGCCCGAAGCGGUGGGAUUCAGGAUGCAUUUUGAAGGUCACGCGAAUGGGAUUGUUAGGAAACUGACAUGUUAAUUGACACCCCUCCCUGCCAGGAGAGGAGAACGGGAAACAGGACUUCUUCCACGCGCUCUUUCGUGUGGUUGCAGGUGAUUCACGGAAGACGCUUCACGUCGCUUCCCUUCCUGCGGUCGAUCGAUCUGUGGAUGAACGUGUGGGUGGGUUCCAGUUCCCUCAGGCCAUCCCUCCCUGGAGAGCGGGAGCAAGGCAGUGACCUGGUGACAGAGAUGGCCUGGAGAUGCACACCGCCACCCCCACCUUUACAGAUUUACAGGGUGGUUGCUGGGAGACAGAAACCGUCUGUGGGACUCCACUGGGACUGGACACUGGAGUGCCCCCCUGGACUCUGCCACAAUGCCUCUUCCCUUGGCUGAUUUUGAUCUGUGUCUUUUCACCAUGAUCAACUGAAGCUAUGCUUGUAACGCUUCUCUGAGUUCUGUGAGUCCUAAAGUACCGAUGAAAGGCUGGAUUCGUGGGACCCCAAUAGACCUCCAGGAGCCAAAUCCAAUGCAGUUUCACACAAGAGUCUUUAUUGCAAGAUGGAUUCUGGACUCACAACCGUUUCCAGCGCAAGGGUCCCAGGGAGGAGAUGCACUCUGGCCCAGAGGUGGGAGCCCAGCAAGGGACAGUGGUCCAGAGGUGGGAGCCGAGGCCUUGCUGGGUGCAGAGGGCACCUGCUGGGGGAGCAGCCCAGCACCUGGGGAGCGUGAGGCUGGGGAGCCUCGAGCGGAAUCAGAGCCCAGGCUGGAGUCUUGGAACCAACUCCCAGUGGAUCCCCAACACAACUGCAAAUAUGAAACCUGCCACCAAGAGACCAGUCAGCAGCAAGAAUGCAAAGACCCCUAUUAGUGCUCAGAUCCUGGUUCCCAUCCUCUGGGAAAAGGUCCUUGGAAGGAAGACCCGUCGUCGAGCUGGGUCAGAGGAAGAGCAGACCAGCCACUUUGCUGCACCAGAAAGCAAGAAUGGAGAGUUGACCAGAACCCUCGGUGAAGCAGGAGUCCCCGAGUGCCACCCACACAGCCCCGUGGUCCUGUACGAGCAUGCGGCCUCGUGACAGCAGAGCCACCUGCAUUUGUAUAGGCACAGCCCGUGGUGUUCACCUAGGGACAAAACCUUCAGAACCCAGCCCUGGUGGCCGGUGACAUGGCUGUGUGAAUGGAUCCAUAAGUCACUUGGAGAUCUAAGGCGAGAAGUGGGAUACCCACACAGUUUCAAAGUCUCCCCUCACAGAAGUCCUACUAUUUACAGAAGGGAAAAGAGUAACUUGGCUGUGGGAAAGACUGGCAGAUGCCACCAAAUCCUGUGACCAAAGCAAACAUGAGUAAUCAAAGAAAUGGACAACUCACUGGCAGUGAGGAAAAUACCACGUCACGUCAGUGCUUCUGCUGCCAAAGGACCCGGUCACGAGGCAGCUCACACACGCAGAGGACAGAGAGCCUUGGAGCCCCAGGUGUCAAGGUCACGGAAGACAGGGGAGAUUGAAACUGAAAGAGAGGAACUGCCCCUUCCUGACCUUCCAAGGGACCCAACCCGAGUACCAUCUGGCCGGCAUCCACCACUCAGAGCCUCACUUGGACCCACAGCAAAACCUGGUCGCAGUCCUACGAUUCCAGGUAGUGAUGAGUGGGGUCCCCUUCCUGACGGUGAUCAGCUGUGGUUUUGUAGGAGGACGCCCCUGUUUGUAGGAAGCACAAGGUCACGUACGCUUUAGUGUGCCCACGUCCUUACUCCCCAGCAGUUCUGGGAAAUCCGAUCUCUUUCUUCUUUUUCUUUUUUGUACUGGGGGUUGAACCCAGGGGUGCUUAACCACUGAGCCACACCACCAGCCCUUUUUAUUUUUAUUUUUUGUUUUGAGAUAGGGUCUUGCUAAAGUGCUGAGGCUGGCCUUGAACUUGUGAUCCUCCUGCCUCAGCCUCCCAAGUUGCUGGGAUUACAAGUGUGUGUCACUGUGCCCAGCUGAGAAGCAAAAUUUCUGAAUUUUUCAAAUAAAAUGUGAUUAUUUUAAAGUUAAGAAAAAAAUACUGUUUUUUUUUGUUUAUUUUUUAAAAAAAUUAUCAUUAAAGUCUUCAUGUUAGCUGAGAAGACACUUUGAAAUUUUAAUGUUUAUGAGAAGAAAUAAGAAAAACAGAUCAUGUAUUUGAUCAAAAGUUUCAUAUUCAAUCAAUGUAUUUCGAUCAACUGCUUGGUUUCGAACACUACUAUGCUUAUUGAUUUUAAUUAUGAUAAUGUAUAAAUAAAGAUAUUAUCAUCAUUUUCUUAAAAUAUGGUACAAGUAAUUUGAAUCAAGAAAGGAUAUGCCUUAGUUCAUUCAGGCUGGCUUUUUUCCCAUGUUUUUGUUGGUACAUUGUGAUGACAUAAAUGGUGGGAUUCCCUGUUACAUAUUAGUACUUGCACACAACAUUCAACAUCAUUUGGCCAGUCUCCCCCCAAGCACUUCCCCCUUGCUCCCCUCCACGCCCACUCUAGGUACUCAUACGGAAAGAGCCCCAGCAUAGAAAUAAACAAGGGCAAAAAGGUGUUCUUUCUGAUGUUUGGAAUGAUUUACGAGAGGAAAUCACCACCGUCAUUUUCAAAUCAAGUCUCUUUUAGACUUGAGACUUCAGAGACUCAGGAAGCUGAGACAGGAGGAUCCCAACUUCAAGGCCAGCUUGGCAGCUUAGUGAGAACUCUGUCUAAGAAUAAAAAGACUGGUGGUGUUGCUUGUGGUAAACUGGCCCUGGGUUCAACCCCAAUACUGCCAAAAAAAAAAAAAUCUCUUACUACUUCUUCUUUUUCUUUUUUUUUCUUCGCUGUUGAAAUGCAACUCAACAACAUUGAAGCCUUUUUCUGAAACCACCAAUUACAUUUUAGCCUCCAGGCUUGUUUAAAAGCAUCACAGGAAAAUAGGCAGCUCUUUCCAAUAUGAACAAGAUAGAAUUAAUACGGGAAAUAUUAAUGGCACCUUAAAGAACAUUAUUGUGAUAGGAUGUUCAAAGCAAAGAUAUGUUAAGGGAAUUAUAAUAUCAAGUAGGGAAAUAAUUAUUUACUUUGGGGGAAACUUGGACCAAGCCUCUUUUACUUCUUUAGACAACAUUUCCUACAUCCUCUCUUCUUGGCUGUAAUCUCCAGUCCUCCUGUAAUUCAAACCUGUUCCGAGGGAGGGCCCCCGCGAGCUGCAUUCCCGCAUUUGGAGAGGCCCAAACAUACUUUUCCUUUUCGUUAGAUUGUCUGCAGGCUGCUGUGAAGCUCUAGGCUCGCCCUUUGUUUCUUUUUGGUGGUGACAACGUCUGUCCACUGCCUUCUCGAAGGGGCCCGUCCUGUGUGAGAUCUGAGGCUACAGGGCUUUCGUUUCUCCUGGAAGAGGACCUGCACAUUGCCAGGAUGCCAAAGGGUGUUUUCUUUAUCUUAACAGUCUGUUGCCUUGAAUAGGAUGCGACUUGGUAUUGCUCAUUCUGUAUCUACGUUCCCCUCUGGGUAGCCUUUUCCUUUUAUUUGAAAAGUUCUAUGUAUGUGCGUGUACGUGUGCGUGUACGUGUGCGUGUGUGUGUGUGUGUGUGUGUUUUCUUUCUUUUUUUCUUUUUUUUUUGCAGUGCUGGGGACAGAACCCAGGGCCUCACACAUGCUAGGCAGGUGCUCUGCCACUGAGCCACAUCCCCAGCCCUUUUAAUCUUUUAAUUUUUUUUUUUUUUUCAUUUUGAGACAGGGUCUAGCUAAAUUGCUUGGGCUGGCCUCAAACUUGGGAUCACCUCUCUUUAGUCUCCUGAGAUUUCAGGGCAUUUUAAAUUAAGAUUAUCUGCCACCUGUUGUACAGGUUAUUAUCAAUUACGACAUUUUUUGAGUGCUUUGGGGCUGGGAUGUGGCUCAGGGAGGAGCAACACUGAGCAUGUGAUAGGCCCUGGUUUCCACCCCCAGGACCCCGUCCCCUCCACCCCAUGCACACACAUAAAGUUCUCCUAUGGAAACAUGGCAGCAUGUGUAAACCACGCAGCCCUCCCAGAGGGGCUGCAGACAGCAGGUGCUCCCACUUGCAAGAAAGCAGAACCUACUGGGAGAAUGUCACUUCUGUCUGAGGUGACUGGGGAGUGGCUGGUGCUAAAGACACUAGAAGUUGGAGCGUGCAGCCAGUGGCUACUGAGAGAUGCGAAGUGUCCCCACCCCCACCCCCACCAGCUUCAGACCUGGAGGGUGACUUUCAGGUUGAAAAGACAACCCACCAGGUGCACACCUAUAAUCCCAGCCACUCAGGAGGAUGGCAAAUUCAAGUCCAGUCUGGGCAACUUAGUGAGACCCUGUCUCAAAAAUGAAAAAUAAAAAGGGAUGGGGUGUAGCUCAGUGACAGAGUGCCCCUGGGUUUAACCCCCAGUAAGAAACACGAAACAAAACAAAACUGAAAAAACCCACAACCACACAGCGUCACCAGAACAAGAGGAAAAUUGGGAAAUCUGGCUUCUUCCCAUGUAUGAUAGGAAAUUUCUCGAUUGUUUAUCAGACUAGAUCUCAGAACAAACAGUUGCUGAGUGAUCCCAUAUCCCAGCCUAUUAAAAUGUCAUGACUCUCAAACAGGUUUUCCAGGCUGAACUAUAAAUAUAAGACACUCUGACAGGCGCACGCCUAAUCCCAGCAGCUUGGGAGGACUGCAAGUUCAAAGCCAGCCUCAGCAACUUAGUGAGGCCCUGAGCAAUUUAGGGUACCCUGUGUCUCUAAAUGAAAAAUAAAAAGGGCUGGGGAUAUAGCUCAGUGGCAGAGUGCCCCUGAGUUCAAUCCCUAGGACCAGCAAACCAACUAACCAACCCACUACAGACAGCGUGACUCCACAAACGUUCAUCCCUCACAGUUUUGGAGGCUGGAGGCUGGGGAAUCCAAGAUCAAGGUAGUGGGAGAUUCAUUGCCUGAUAAGGGACGCUUCUGAGUUCACAUAGAUGACAGCUUCUUAUGGUGUUCUUACGUGGUGGAAGGGGCUGGGGGUGCUAAGGUCACUCAUCCCAUCGGUGGGGACUCCACCCUCAUGACUGACCCCCCUCUCCAAGGCUCCCCCUCCUAAUGUCAUCCCACUGAGGGUCAGGAUUUCAACAUAUGAAUCUGCAGGGCACACAGACCUUCAUGACAGAACCUCAGGGCUCAUGUUCCAGGUCUGGAUUUCCAACCUCCAAACUUAGUCCAGUCUUACCUGGUGGAAGGAAUGCAGCCUAUCAGUCAUGACACCUGUCCGUUUAUCACCAGUUUAAUGGAAGGAAACAGAUCAACUGGUCAUUUCGGCACCAGUGGGAAUAUUCCUUAUCAGACUAGAGAUAUGGUGUUGAGACGGGAUUGGUGUUCUCCUUCUAUUCAAGAUGUUUAAGCGAAUCUCAUACCAGACUUGUAAAAAUUCCACUGAUUAAACUUGCAAUCAAUGUUCAAA